CCCAGUAAGUAGUGGGGGCAGUUGGGGCCAGAAGAGGGCAGGUGGCAAGUGCGGCCUCUCUGGGUGGCUUAAACCUCCAGAAUGGUUCUCCCCAAAAGCGGGGAGGCCUAGUAGCCUUUAGACAGCCAGGGGGACUCAGCACACAGGCCCUCCCCAACCAGACGGGUGAGAAGUCUCUGGUGCAAGGGCUGCAGGGCAGCAGGUAUGCCCAGGAGACAGCAGGCCGCAGAGAGGUGGCAAAAGGUGGCACUGGCACUUAGCUGGAUUUGCUACAUGCUGGACACUAGGACCAUGGUAAGGACAAUCUAGAGGAGAAUCAGACGGCAAGGGAGAAAGACCCAGAGGGCAGUGGGCCUCCCACCUGCCCUCGCUGUGCAGGUCCUCCUAAGCCUCCCGCACACCGGGGCUUUCCUGGGGACACACUUCAGCAGCACUGUUCCUUUUCCUGGGCAGGGUCCUGUCUCCCUCCUGCCCUGUCAACUGCCCUGCACCCCACAGUAGUUCCUUAUUCCUUGGGUGCCUCUGGGCUCCCAGCUCACCCAGCCAGGCGGGCUUCCUGCCUUGUCACCACCCCCUUCUCUGGGUCUUCUGCAGUCCAGGCUGAUGGGGGCUCUUCUGCUAAGGUCACCUGGAGUCCCCGUCCCCUGGGUCCAUUGUCUGCUGAUCUCUGCUCACUUGGUGAGUCCUACCCAGGAGGCCCUGCGGUUCCUGAAAGGAGUCAGUUCCCAUCAAGGUCCAGCUCCGCGUCCAGGCCUGUCUGAACCAGACUGGGGUAGAGACCAGAGGUCCUCACCGAGCACUGUCCCCACUCGGGCUCUGGGCUGUCAUCCUGAAAUCCCAGGCUUUGUCUCUCAGGGGCUAAACUCACUAAGGCUCCCCGUCCCGGCUUACCCUCCAGGUCAGAAGCCUUAGAAAGGACAGGAGUGAUCCUCAGGUGGCCCCUCACUCCUUCCUGCCUCUCGCAUAUGCAUGCAUAGUCCCUGGCCCCACCUCUUGGGGAAGAGACGCCAGUGACAUCUGCAGAGAUGCAGGCAUUGUGACCUGACAAACCAGAAAGAAACACCUUCUGCAAAACACCCGAGAAGUGCAGAGCCGGCUAGCAGUGCCCUUGGACCUCAGCUUUAUCCCUCUGCUUUUGCAGUUGUUGAAUGUUGAAACAAGUCGACUCGAAGCUGUAUAAUAAAUGAAUUCCAGCUUGGGUCUUGGCAGGAUUUGUUUUGCUUGAGGGAAGUUGUUUAUGCUAGCGGGUCCCCCCUCUGCAUAGUUCCAUCUAUAUCAAACAGAGUCUUGUCCAUCAUCUGGAUGCUGCUGUAAACAAGAUAAUCUUUGUCUACCAGGAACGAGCCCGAUGCCAAUAACUUUAAAUAAACACAAGCACCAGUUUUGUAUUUACGUUGUCUGAGGUAACCGCGG
rnacentral:lncRNA from 1 species